AUUGAACGCUGGCGGCAGGCUUAACACAUGCAAGUCGAGCGGGGGAAGGUAGCUUGCUACCGGACCUAGCGGCGGACGGGUGAGUAAUGCUUAGGAAUCUGCCUAUUAGUGGGGGACAACAUCUCGAAAGGGAUGCUAAUACCGCAUACGUCCUACGGGAGAAAGCAGGGGAUCUUCGGACCUUGCGCUAAUAGAUGAGCCUAAGUCGGAUUAGCUAGUUGGUGGGGUAAAGGCCUACCAAGGCGACGAUCUGUAGCGGGUCUGAGAGGAUGAUCCGCCACACAGGGACUGAGACACGGCCCAGACUCCUACUGGAGGCAGCAGUGGGGAAUAUUGGACAAUGGGGGGAACCCUGAUCCAGCCAUGCCGCGUGUGUGAAGAAGGCCUUAUGGUUGUAAAGCACUUUAAGCGAGGAGGAGGCUACUUUAGUUAAUACCUAGAGAUAGUGGACGUUACUCGCAGAAUAAGCACCGGCUAACUCUGUGCCAGCCGCCGCAGUAA
rnacentral:rRNA from 1 species